rnacentral:rRNA from 1 species
UACGUAGGGGGCGAGCGUUGUCCGGAAUGAUUGGGCGUAAAGGGCGCGUAGGCGGCUGAUUAAGUCUGAAGUGAAAGUCCUGUUUUUAAGAUGGGAAUUGCUUUGGAUACUGGUCAGCUUGAGUGCAGGAGAGGUAAGUGGAAUUCCCAGUGUAGCGGUGAAAUGCGUAGAGAUUGGGAGGAACACCAGUGGCGAAGGCGACUUACUGGACUGUAACUGACGCUGAGGCGCGAAAGUGUGGGGAGCAAAC